rnacentral:rRNA from 1 species
UGGGGAAUAUUGGACAAUGGGGGGAACCCUGAUCCAGCCAUGCCGCGUGUGUGAAGAAGGCCUUAUGGUUGUAAAGCACUUUAAGCGAGGAGGAGGGUACUGGUAUUAAUACUACUAGCUACUGGACGUUACUCGCAGAAUAAGCACCGGCUAACUCUGUGCCAGCAGCCGCGGUAAUACAGAGGGUGCGAGCGUUAAUCGGAUUUACUGGGCGUAAAGCGUGCGUAGGCGGCUAAUUGAGUCGGAUGUGAAAUCCCCGAGCUUAACUUGGGAAUUGCAUUCGAUACUGGUUAGCUAGAGUGUGGGAGAGGAUGGUAGAAUUCCAGAUGUAGCGUUGAAAUGCGUAGAGAUCUGGAGGAAUACCGAUGGCGAAGGCAGACAUCUGACCUAACACUGACGCUGAGGUACGAAAGCAUGGGGAGCAAACAGG